CCAGGCUUUAGCACCUACCACUAUUUAUCAGAGUGUUAGGAUUAACAAAUCUCAUUUGUAAACACUGUGUACAAGACCUUGUUUUGCCUGGGUGAUUAUGAAAAUUCUGCCUCCCUUGAAGUUAGCAUGAGAGGGAUUUUUAUUUGGUUUCUUUGCCAGCUUUAUCAUUUGGGCUGGUAAUUGUUAUAAAUUCCCUCUCUCUUUGUGUUGGGAGUGUCGGUUUAUGAGCUUGGAUUUAAAUUGGUUUACACCCUCAGGAGAAUUUUUUGAUGGAGAUUUGAUGUGAUGUGUUAUUAAUGGUAGUUUUACAUGUUGGAAUGUUGGAAUUGAAGAUUUUCAGAGAUGGCUGUCAUAUGGCUUGUACAGAGAGCUGGUAUUAUGAAAAUCCAGAACCUAAUUAUGACAAGACUCACUGAGGAAGUAUUCAGGGCUCUAGACAGAAACUGUGGGCUAACAUCAGCCUCAGGAAGGUGACUAAGGGUUUUAAUCAACAGCAAUACACCAUCCCGGUAUACAUUUAAUUAGCUGCAUGCUGCUUAGAAGGCU